GUGGGGAAUCUUGCGCAAUGGGCGAAAGCCUGACGCAGCCAUGCCGCGUGAAUGAUGAAGGUCUUAGGAUUGUAAAAUUCUUUCACCGGGGACGAUAAUGACGGUACCCGGAGAAGAAGCUCCGGCUAACUUCGUGCCAGCAGCCGCGGUAAUACGAAGGGGGCUAGCGUUGCGCGGAAUUACUGGGCGUAAAGGGCGCGUAGGCGGACAGCUUAGUCAGAGGUGAAAGCCCAGGGCUCAGCCUUGGAAUUGCCUUUGAUACUGGCUGUCUUGAGUUUUGGAGAGGUGAGUGGAACUCCGAGUGUAGAGGUGAAAUUCGUAGAUAUUCGGAAGAACACCAGUGGCGAAGGCGACUCACUGGCCCAAUACUGACGCUGAGGCGCGAAAGCGUGGGGAGCAAACAGGAUUAGAAACCCUAGUAGUCC
rnacentral:rRNA from 1 species